rnacentral:lncRNA from 1 species
UUAAGGUUUCUCGAGCUCAUCAAAUCUCAUAUUUCAAAAUUUUAAUCUGUUUUCUCUCUGGCAAUUCAAGAAGAUCAACGAAGAUUUCACCAGAUCAAUGAAGGUUUCGACAACCUAAACCACAAUCGCAUCUCUACCGUCGCACAAUCCGCUCAAAUGAAUUUCGGCGACUCAAUUUGUGCUCCAAUCAUUCAACUACUGACGUAAUAGAGUGGAUUGAAGCAUAUUCAGAGACAGGAGCCUCAGUAGCUGCUACUUCAGGUUUUGCAAGCUCAUGGUCAUGGGGCCGUCGGCAUCUCAACGACAAUCAGUCUUCUAUUUCGUUUGGAUCUGGAGCUUAUUGCAAUCAAUAGUCCAUGGCAGAUUCAAGGCGAUUAUUGUUGUUUAGGGUUUGAUAUGGCGG